rnacentral:rRNA from 1 species
GACGAACGCUGGCGGCGUGCUUAACACAUGCCAGUCGAACGAUGAUCUCCCGCUUGCGGGGGUGCUUAGUGGCGAACGGGUGAGUAAUACGUGAGUAACCUGCCCUUGACUCUGGGAUAAGCCUGGGAAACCGGGUCUAAUACUGGAUACUACUUCCUGCCGCAUGGUGGGGGGUGGAAAGGGUUUUACUGGUUUUGGAUGGGCUCACGGCCUAUCAGCUUGUUGGUGGAGUAAUGGCUCACCAAGGCGACGACGGGUAGCCGGCCUGAGAGGGUGACCGGCCACAGUGGGACUGAGACACGGCCCAGACUCCGACGGGAGGCAGAAGUGGGGAAGAUUGAACAAGGGGCGGGAGCCUGAUGCAGCGACGCCGCGUGAGGGAGGACGGCCUUCGGGUUGUAAACCUCAUUCAGCAGGGAAGAAGCCACAAGUGACGGUACCUGCAGAAGAAGCGCCGGCUAACUACGUG